rnacentral:lncRNA from 1 species
GCCUUCACUGGUGGUCCUCCCGGUGCUCCCAUGAGCCUCCUCGCCUCUAGUCCAACCCACGUUGGCACACCAUCUUCUUGAUCAGUAGAUAAAAGCUUUCUAGCGUUGUUUUCAAGAGCUCCGGUUAGUUCCGUGGCGUUGGAGUUGAGGUCAGUCACCAUUGCAAGACUAUUACUGCUUAGCUGUCUUGAUCUUUUAAAAAUGUUGAUCAUAUCGUGCUUAAGAGUAGAUUUAAUCUCCUCAAAAGUAUCAAUACAAGUCUGCUGGAACGCGAUGGAGCCACUUAUCCAAACCCUAAGAUCAUCGAUAAACCUUUCAAUCUCAUCGACGGAGACCUUAUGAUCACCACACUUUUUCAAAUCAGCAAUAGCGUCGUUCAUUACCUUCUCGCAAAGCUCAAAAGCGUCUUUAGCUUCAGGGUGUUUGUCAGCUUUGUGUUUAACGUCUUCAGAGGCUUUCUUGAGACCUUCUUGAAUGGAUUUGAUGGUGACGUUGAAGCUGAGUUUGAUUAGGGCGAGUGGCUCGGUGGAUUUGGGAGACGCGUCCAUUAAGCUUUUGAGGCAAGUCUCUUUGUAGUCAGUGGGUGCACAAACUGUUUUAACGGCUUUAGUGUUUUGCCUGAUCUCGUUUUCGUUGGGUGAGUUUUUGGAUGCUAUGAUGGCUACAGAGACAACCAUGAUGACUAGCAAACCCGAGACAACACCCGCUAUGAUGCAUUUCUUCUUCUUGUCACCAUCAAGCGCCAUCUUUUAUACAAAACUUAAAAGGUCCAAAGAGGUAAAAUUUUCAAGAUUUUUUUUUUCUAAUGCGUUUUAUUUUUUAAAUGUUGGAAGUGGAGCAGAGGGGGCCUUCCAAGUGUGGCUAUAAGGCCCCUUCUAGCUCUGGUUUUAAUUUAUUUUUGGUGAGUGAUUUUUUUUUUUUUUUGUAACCAAAGCUUUUUAUCAAAGUUUCAAUGCAUUUGACAGAUAAAAUCGUGUUGAAGUUUUACCUGUAUCGCAGACGAGAAUCAACGCUUCAUUGUAGUUGUCUUGUUUGACGAACCUUCGUCUCUUGCUCCGUCCAUCUGGAGAAACAAACACAGACACAAAUCAUAAGGCUGGAAUGAACACAAUAAACUAAGAAACAAACACAUGCAUAGCUUUACCUUUCUUUGAUUUCGAAGAGGAGAGCUCCAGCCGCGAGAGAGGUUUGAAGUGAUUCUUCGUUGCGGUGAGCCGUUGAGAGAGAGAUGUAGCCUUUUCAUCCUCGAGGAGAUCGACACCGCGAGACGCCAACAGAUUCAAGGAGAUCGACACCGCGAGACACCGGGAGACGAACCGCUUUCAUCAACGAUUGAGAUCACCGUCGAUUGAUCACGGAGGCGUCGAGGGGAGAUCGGUUUCCUCGAGAGAGAUGGGUUCGGCGGAGUCGUCGAGAGAGAAUCAGAAGAGACUUGUGUCUCGCGAGAGAGAGGGGGAGAGAGAGAGAGAGAGAGAGAAAAGGACAUCAAUUACGUCAUCGAUCGUUGUCUUCAUGACGAUCGUCCUCGAGAACUCCUUCCACGGUCUCCCUAGAUACGCCUUGCUCGCGGUUUUCACCGGAAUAUACGCCGGAUCUCCCACUAUAUGGCAGUUAUGGAGCACUAUUCCCGUCGGUUCACGGACGUCGCUGCGUCCCUGAGCGGUGACCAUACACGACUGACCUGCCAUAGGUUUGCGCAAGACGAUUUUGCAGUUUUGGAGGAUGCAUUGCGAGUCGCCGAAGAUGAAGUCCACGGUGCCGGAGACCGUGCAGUCACGGUAGAAUUGCCGUUGAGAGUGAACGUAUAAGGUGUCUUGGUAACCGUCGAUUUGACAGUCGAAGAACACGGCGUAGUCCCCCGAGACUCUUAAGGCUACCGCUUGUCCUCCUUCUGGUCCAGCCGUGUUCUCCAUCCCAAUGCCCUUUGCUGUGAAGUGCUCUCCCUCUACAGCUGCACAUAUAAGAAAGGUCGGUCAUGUUUAGACGGCCUCCCUCUGGUCCAGCCGUGUUCUCCAUCCCGAUGCCCUUAGCUGUGAAGUGUUCACCCUCUACAGCUGCACAUAUAAGAAAGGUCGGUCAUGUUUAGACGCGGAGUUGACUUAAUGGAUAAAACUCUUAGAUUAUGUCUAAACAGUCAUAAGUUCGAAUAGGCAUGUGGGUUCGGUUAGUUAGGGCUAUUCUGUUCAGGUAGUUCAGUUCAACAUAAAUCUUACUGAGUUAACUUGAAAUAAAGUUUGGUUCCAUAUAAUAUUCGGUUAUUUCAGCUUUUGCAAAUCCUACUAAAGUUUUUGAUUUCGAUUAAACUUUUGUUUAAUUUUGUUAAAAAAUCGAAUUUAUUCGGUUAGUUUGGUUCCAAAUCUGGUUACUUCGGUUAGUUUAGUUUGUAUGGUUUGGUAUAUAUAUUUUAAAGAAAACCAAAGUAACCGAUGCCAAGUUAAACCGAAAACUGAUUUUUUUUAGAAAACCUACGGAAUCGAACUAACCGAAAUUUCGGUUCAGUUAGGCUGGUUCGGUUCAUAAUCUCAGGCUAAGUUCGAGAGUCCGGUUGGAAAAUGUCUGCUCAUAUAGGAUGAUGUAGGGAACUUCGGACCAUAAUUUACUUGUCAUUAGAAUAGACAAAUUUCGAAUCUUACUUAGGGGAGCUGUUAGGUAAGUCUUGACUUUUCCAAUACCAAAGUUAAGACUGCCGGAGAUAACGGUCUUGGUUGGUCCAUCACCGAUGAAAGUGACGUACGGCAUCUUCCUAGUGACCACAACUUUCUCCUUGUAGACACCUUCUUUGAUGUGGAUGACGAACGGCACUUUGUUCUCUUUAGGCACAGCGUUUAGAGCAUCGUUGAUAGUCUUGAACUGUCCACUUCCGUCUUGAGCCACCACAGCAUUAGCCUUCACUGGUGGUCCUCCCGGUGCUCCCAUGAGCCUCCUCGCCUCUAGUCCAACCCACGUUGGCACACCAUCUUCUUGAUCAGUAGAUAAAAGCUUUCUAGCGUUGUUUUCAAGAGCUCCGGUUAGUUCCGUGGCGUUGGAGUUGAGGUCAGUCACCAUUGCAAGACUAUUACUGCUUAGCUGUCUUGAUCUUUUAAAAAUGUUGAUCAUAUCGUGCUUAAGAGUAGAUUUAAUCUCCUCAAAAGUAUCAAUACAAGUCUGCUGGAACGCGAUGGAGCCACUUAUCCAAACCCUAAG